AGUGAACGCUGGCGGUAGGCCUAACACAUGCAAGUCGAACGGCAGCACAGUAAGAGCUUGCUCUUACGGGUGGCGAGUGGCGGACGGGUGAGGAAUACAUCGGAAUCUACUUUUUCGUGGGGGAUAACGUAGGGAAACUUACGCUAAUACCGCAUACGACCUACGGGUGAAAGCAGGGGAUCUUCGGACCUUUCGCGAUUGAAUGAGCCGAUGUCGGAUUAGCUAGUUGGCGGGGUAAAGGCCCACCAAGGCGACGAUCCGUAGCUGGACUGAGAGGAUGAUCGGCGGCAUGAGAGGGGGGACGGGGUCCAGAGUACUGCGAGAGGGAGCAGAGGGGAAUAUGAGGCAGUGGGCGCGAACCUGGUCCAACCGGACGGCGUGGGUGAAAGAGACCUUCGGGUUGUGAAGCCCGUUUGUUGGGAGAGAAAAGCAGCAGGUUGAUACGCAGCGGUUGUGACGGUACCCAAAGAAUAAGCACCGGCUAACUUCGUG
rnacentral:rRNA from 1 species